rnacentral:Y_RNA from 1 species
CGCUGAAGGUAGUGAGUUAUCUUGAUUGUUGACAGUCACAGAUCGAACUCCUUGUUCUACUCUUUCCCCCCUUCUCACUACUGCACUAGACUAGCCUUAA